rnacentral:rRNA from 1 species
UACGUAGGGGGCAAGCGUUAUCCGGAUUCACUGGGUGUAAAGGGAGCGUAGACGGCCAGGCAAGCCUGGAGUGAAAGCCCGGGGCCCAACCCCGGGACUGCUCUGGGAACUGUCCGGCUGGAGUGCGGGAGGGGCAGGCGGAAUUCCUGGUGUAGCGGUGAAAUGCGUAGAUAUCAGGAGGAACACCGGCGGCGAAGGCGGCCUGCUGGACCGCGACUGACGUUGAGGCUCGAAAGCGUGGGGAGCGAACAGG